UACGUAGGUGGCAAGCGUUGUCCGGAUUUACUGGGCGUAAAGAGCGCGCAGGCGGUGAAGUAAGUCGAAUGUGAAAGCCCCCGGCUCAACUGGGGAGGGUCAUUCGAUACUGUUUCACUCGAAGGCAGGAGAGGGAAGCGGAAUUCCCGGUGUAGUGGUGAAAUGCGUAGAUAUCGGGAGGAACACCAGUGGCGAAGGCGGCUUCCUGGCCUGUUCUUGACGCUGAGGCGCGAAAGCUAGGGGAGCAAACGGG
rnacentral:rRNA from 1 species